GGGCUUCCCAACCACUACCAUUUCUGUUCCCAUCUCUCUUCAGUGAUUAUAAAUGCUUCAUCAAUUACAUUUAUACACAUUUUAAAAUUAAUAUUCACUCAUUAGUUUAAUGACAAAAAGCCAAAUGUAAUAUUACAUUUCAACAUAAAUCCAAUGCUUUAACAAGUGGUAUGAUUCUGUAAGCAAUGCUGAUCAGUGAACUGCUUAUAUAAUAGUGGGAAGAAGUAUAAAUAUUUUACUAUUUUGUUUUCUUCUUUUAGUUUACUUCCUCCAACCCGGAGUUAAAAAUGUUACACAAACAUCAACUGCACUUGGGACAUAUCCUCUACAGGCAAACUGUUUCUGUAAGCUUACUAUUACCUUAACUUCAGCACAAGAGAUUAAGCAAGUCCUAUGAUAUCAUGACAGGUCUUGCCACCAUCUACAAUGAAACAAUGUCACUAUCUCAAUUGAUUUUAAAGGUCUGGUAAAUUGCUGUGGUGGUCAUAUAUGAUUGAAAUCCACGUUACACUUUUCAUAUGCAUCUGAACUAUUUCUGCCUAUGUUUUCAUUUUGUGUGUUAACUUUUUCUACAAUAACAACUUUAAUACAAAAUAAUAAAAUAUCGGUGUUAGUGGUUAAUCAACCUGUCUCUUAGUGUGUGUGUUUGUGCGCAUCUUCACACUGUCCUUCAAAGAUGAAAUUCAUUGUUAGAUCAAUUAAAAAGGUACUAGGUGAGGGGCGGAGCCUGACAGCCAAGCUGAGCGGUCGCACCUCAGCAGAGCUCCUGUCUACAUAACCUGAAAAACAAGCAAAACCCUGCAAAUUUCAAGCUUUUUACACUCCAGACACUGGGGCUUAACAUCGAGACAAGGCAUAACUGAGCAGGGGACCGCAAAAUGCGACCGAUUCCAGGGGAUGGACCUGAGGCCUACCUGCGGCCUACUCAGGAAGCAUGGGGGAGACGGCCGAUCCCUCAGCCGACUGUAGCCUGUAUCAAAGGAGGUCUCUCCGGAACACUCCUCUCUCCCCCCCCCCCUGCCGGUGAGGGAUAUCCCGGCAACCAAAGCAUGUGGAUCAGGACGGAGAAAUCGAGUGCAGCCACCUUGCACCACCGGACCGCUGACACAAGGCAUGGCGGAGACCACGUGGAUCCCGGCAUCCAAGCCCAGCUUGCCUCCACUGUCGGAGCGGAUAGACCGCCUAUUUAACGAUUUCUGGGCCAAACUCGCCAGCCGCGGAGACACCCGGGCACAAGUACCACCGGCAUCAGCCACAAAAGGCAUUACACAGCAGCCUGCGGCUCCGGUGCAGAACCCGAGAACGAUCGAGAUAGCAGGGGGUGAGAGGCGGAAGAAACGUCGUAAGACCCAGCGCCCGACUCUUAGGCUACCGGUGAGCUGCCCAAAGCCUCAACGGAGACGAUCUCCAGGGCUGCCCCAUCACCACCCCUCUCACCCGCGAAAAGUCCGCUCAAAGAACUGGCCUAGCACACUCAGGCAGGUUCCAUAUCAGAACAGCAGCCCCCCGGGGCUAAAGGCACACACGGGACUCCCGACCACUCACCACUCCAAGUCAUCAGGGAACAUGGAGGCAGCACGGAGCCAACUCGAUGCCCAACGAACGGGAGUGCUUGGUCCACUCACCCCCCCGAGAGGCGGCAAAACAUAUGGCCUUGACGUACCCCUAGCAGGUGUUGGCUGACCGGGACAUUUGAAAUCACAAAUGAGUCAUUCACUCUAUGCCUCAAACAGUCCCUACUUGUUAUCAAGGACGUUUUCCUUGUUCCACUGAGAAAUAUAGUCUUACACAUAUGCUCAUAAGCUAUGUCCUACAACUUACACGCUAACAUACUGCAAUUAUUAUGUACCCCUAUUGACUAACAACACUAGUAUACACAUGUGCCAAGCUUUUAACAAAGCACAACCUCUACACACAUUUUCUAGGGCUAUGUAUAAGAACAACGUUCAGCCUGCAUAACACUCCAUAGCCUCAAUAGACUUAGCAUGCUCCUACCUUCCUGUAUUAACCCAUGAAACUAGGCAAAAUUAAUAUGACACACAACUGUUUCUCUAUGUCUAUGUCUUUAAUUUGCUAUUACUACUAAGUUUACGAUAUUAUCUUGUUUAUAUAACUACUUUAAAAAAAAAAGUGCAAUGUCGUUAAUGCCAUGUGAUUAAGAAUGUAUGCAAACUCGACUGUACCAGCUAUUGUGGCAGUACAAAUUCGCUUGUUACCCUCAUGCACGAACAAAAAUAAAGAAUUAUAAAAAAAAAAAAAAAAAGGUACUAGGUAUUUUUCAUAGCAUUUCAAAAUUCCUCAUUGAAUACACUGUAACCAAAUAAGCUUCUUGUAUAGGUAAUAUAGAGCAAGGAGAUCACGGAUCCCUUUUCCUUCAUCCAAUUCAUUAAAGCUGCUGCUAUUUGCUAUACUAUUCAGCAGACCAUAAAUACCGUGUACAUGCUUUACAUAUUGUAAGGUGUUUGUACACUGAUGAAUUGCAGCUUCAAAAGGAAUGUUUUAUUUUCUUUAAAUUUUUUAUUGUAAUGCAAUAUAUGUAUGAUGCACUAAAACAGGGGUCAUCUAGCCAUUGUACAGCGCUACGGAACUUGCUGGCACUAUAUGAAUAAUAAUCUCCAGUCCGGAAUUUCAUUUACAUAUAACAGCAAUAUACUACGUAUUGGUACAAAGGAAGCAGAAAGGUCCCUGAGAAAAUGUUAACAGCCUAAAUAUACUAUAAAUAAAUACUUUCAAGAUAAAUGUGGCAAAAAAAUCAAAUCAAAAUUUAAAUCUGAGCAAUGUAAAACUGUCCAUCAAAGAAGAGCUGUAUAUAAUCGGUGUUGGCUAAACACUGGCUAUCCAACUCAAGUGGCAAAGAUGGAAUGGCUGGGCACCCAGAUCAACAGAUAUGUCACCAGUAGUAUAAACCAAUAUCGUUAAGGAGUUUAAUAGUGGUUAAUGAAUUCCAUCGCAUUUAAGACUAAGGUUUCACAUUGCAGAUUGCAUCAACAAUUUGCUUUGUUUCAGUUUAGUAUGUUGACUUAGAUAGACCAUACCACAGGUUCUAAAUAGUUUGUAUAAUCCCCCUUUCUAUGAAUAGCUCUUGCAAGCUUUUUUCCAGCACUGUAUUUGUCCCACGUAAACCAUUCACCACUUCUGAUGCCCACUGGAAAUAUUCUUGAACCCUUUGGUCAGUCCAGCCUGCAACAUAAGUAUA
rnacentral:lncRNA from 1 species